UUUUUGUUACCAGUGAAUGUGAUGGUCCACAUUCACUUCUUUAUUACAUCAUAGAAUAAAAAAACACUAAGAUUGAUCGUGAUGACAGAAGCUUUCAUUUUCUUCAUCUGAAAAAUGAAGAACUUGAAAUAGUUGAUGGAUAAGUCUUUGCUCAGCUAAGUUCCAUUGAAUUAUUUCUAAGCUCCAUUUUGGCUUUAAAAAGUGUAACUGAACAUUUCUUAAAUAAUAUUUUGAUCCAGUAAGCAAUACGGGAGACAACUGUAGUUUUACUUUAUGAAAAUAUUUUGUAAGUUACCCCUGAAACUUGUUUCCUUUUCUCUUCUCCACUCAAUGGGAGAGAGCAAACAGUAGUUGUAAUGAUAGCUUCCUUCCUUUUUCUGUUUCUUCUCCUAAAACUCAAGACACAGCACACUUUUCUAAUCCUGAAUUGGUAAGAAGGCAAGGAAGGGGAGUUGUGAGCAAUAGAAAUAACCGGAGAGAAUGUUUCUGAUGCUCUCUAUGUCUCUAUUUACUCCUUCUUUCAUGCAUUUUACAGAUAUUAACUGAAUACCUAUUUACUGAACACCUCUGUUCCAGCUCUGACUGAUUUCUGUAAAUAUACGAAUUUUCCUAGCAAAUUCAGUCACUGCCCUCUUAGAGCUUGUAAACUGAUAAAGAAGAUAAACAUUAGUCAGUGUAAGUUUGAUAAUUAUUACAAAGGAGUUGUACAGUAUAUUUUAAAGACAUGUUACUAGAUCCAUGAAAAAAAAUUACAGAAUCAGGACCUAGCAACAAAUCAGCACAAUUUUUAAGCAAGCAAUAGAAAUAAUGUGCUUGUCCCAUGAAGCCCUAGCAAUGAUUAGCAUCUGCCACCUAAGCAAGAUGCCUGUUGCCAACAAGAAGUCCUGUGUGUCAGGGUGUCUCCAGCUACAAUAAAGAACCAUCCCACACACACUCAGCUGGCCCAAAUAAUAAGGAAAAUGUAUUUGUCACAUAAUAAAAAUCCCAAAGUCUAGUUUUCCCAGCACUGUGGCAGUAUCAAGUUUCCGAGCUCAUUGUUUUUGCCUUUCAAUUCUCAGGGUGCCAGCAAUGUCCAAACGGUGGCAUCUGUUAAUAAUCAUUAGUUAAGAGCCAUGAUUCCAAGUGUCACCCACUUUCAGACACAACAAAAUGCAGACAAAAUUUUUGUGUAUCUCUUAUAGAAUUAAGUUACUUCUCUAGCAAAAUUUGUUUCAUAUUUUAUUGACCAGAAUUGGGUCUCACAUCUCUCAGAAAAAUUUUCUAGGAAGAAGAAUGAUAUUACUAUGAGUGGCAUAAUCAGGAAUUACCCCCAAGUCUCAGGAAGACACUCCUUGAUGAAGUGGACACCCAAACAGACUUUUACUCUGACAGCAAGAAGAAAAGAGCCAGUGCUUUUUAAUUCUGUAUAUCAAAUAGCAAGACAUCAACUUUCACUCAAAUUUGUGGAGGAUAGGUGGUGAUUGCCUUCUCAACAACUGUUGGAAGGGAGCUAUUUUGGAGGUAAUGCCAGGCAAGGCAAAAGACACUUUAAGGAUGCUUUUAACUAUCUCUUCAAAAUAAGAGUAUACAUUUGGAAAACUGAGGCAAGUCUGAUUUGUAUCAGUAAGGUUUUGAACGUGGUUAUCAUGGUCACUGCCAAAGGACAUUUUAUUGUUUCUGCAAGAGAAUCUGCAGCUAUAUUCUAGGAAAAAAAUCAAAAAAAGAACAGCAAAAACCUUUUGCCUAUAUACUGUCUCACAUUUGUCUUUUUAGCUGCUAAUCUUCAGUGUAGUAAUCACCAACAUUCUUUAAUACAAUAGAUAGAAAUGUGGGUAAUGCUAAGCUGAGACCUAAAUGUACCUCAUAAAUAGGCAGGUUUCAUAUUUCAUGCUUAGAAACAUAAAAUAAAUUUUCCCGAUGUGUUACGUUCAUUUAAAUUUUCACAGUGUUUAGCUGUAAAGAAAGAAACAUAAUGCCUUUUAUAUCAUCAGAAUCAUUAUUGUAUUUCUUUAGUGGCAUUUCUUCACCUAGAAUGUUAUCAAGUUGACAUUAAAUCAGAAAGAAAACUAUGUUCCUAAGGAGAGAGUGCUCUUGCUAAUCCAUUUCAGUUAAACAAAUGAUUAUACCACAUUUUAAGUGAUAUGGCGAAAAUGGGAGUAUUAGGGCCCCUCUUUUCAGGUCUUCUAUUUGCUAAUCAUUUUUAUAAAGUAUUCAGUUUAAUAUAGUAUACUAAUAAUGAAAAAGUUUGAAACAUUGCAAUAAUUACCAAAAUGCGAUGCAGAGACAUAUAGUGAGCAUAUGCUGUUGGAAAAACGGCACAGACGAAGUUGCUCAACACAGGGUUUCCACAAACUUUCAACUGUAAAAACACAACUUCAGCAAAGCACAAUGAAGUGAAGUGCAUAAAACAACUUAUACCUGUAUUUCGGGCCACACUAUAAGGCAGGUUGUAGAGACUAAAACCUUUAAGUAGCCGAGGCCUUCUCUCGAGCCCAUGGCAGGGAAAGGUUAAGCAGUAUAUUCCACAGCUCAUAUUCUUUCUGUUACACCCUGGUCCCUCUUUCUGUUCCUGGGGUAUGUACAUGUGAUUGGGGGUGAUAGCAGUGGUGGUAUUAUUGAUGAUUUAUUUCUGUAAUGUUCUAAUAAUUUUGAAAAUGCUUCUGGGAAAAUACGUAGGAUGAGAAAAUUACAUACAGACUCAUGGCCCAGGCAGGUUUCUUUCUAAUCAACUCACUUUUCCCACUUCCCCGCCAUAACCCCUGACAAAUUCUUCCCCAGAAAAUCCUUUUGGUGAUCUUUUUAACCAUCUUCCACAAGAAGAAAAAUAAUUUUAAAGCAAAACAUGCAUACGAAAGUCAAUUAUUAUGAUUUUUUUUCUGUAUUCUAGAGUAGAAUAUAAAUGUGUCAUGGUUCUAUUUUCAGAGAGCUGAUGUAUUACAUCAGUUUAAGUAAUACAUGAUAUACAAUAUAAAUUUUAAAAUCUCCCACAUAAUUCAUUAGAUAUGUGUAUUGGUUUCUACAGAUAAAUAUCAUUCUAAGACGUUAAAUGAGAAUCAAAUGUUUAAAUUAUAUAUCAACAUACUAUUGAGGUGGCAGUAGAAAUGACAGUGUAGUAACAGCCCCCUUUCCAAAUGGUAUUUCAAACUGUUACAAUGUGGAAAUGUUAAAAGGAGAGGUCAUGAAGUAUGACUUGUGAAGAAUAUGUGAAUCUAGGACAAAAAUCUUUAAACCCAAGAGAGCAGAGGUAUAAAUAGUUGAAUUUGACCUUAGAUUGUUGAAAUAUUUUCAUAAAACCACUGCAAGAUGCACUUUUUAAAAUGUAAAUUCAUACUCUGACAUUUGCAACCUGUACACAGAGCUUCUAAUAAGCAAAUAAGGUCACUUGGAUGAUUUACUGGAGUGGGAUUGCUGAAGGCAGAGAUGUUGCUAUGAGUUGCUUGGUUUACAGAAGGCUUUGAAGUGUGGUUAUGUAACACUGUGUUUAUGCUUUAUGCUUUAUGUAACAAAUAAGAACAAAGGACUUAAUUUAGGAUUAGCUGACUGCCACAUUCUAUCCUGAUUAUAUAUGUAAAGGUUAAUUUCUGGUCUAACUAAAUAGAACACCUCAACUUUCUAGUUUUCCAGGUUAUAAAUACUUUGGUAAAAAAGCAGGUUCAAAGUUUUCACCAGAAGUUCUGCAUGGUGACUUUGAACAGAUACAAGCCUGUUUCUUUUUCCUUUACGUUAUGCUGCAGUGUAUUGAUGAUGAGCUUUAUGAGAGCUGAGACAGAUGAUCGUACUAACAAUUCUAUAUUUAAUAUAAGUCCUCCUCUUUUAAAAUAGCUUCAUAAUGGGUGUAUGCUCAUUGCUUAGGUUCACUUUCUUUAGUUUUGAAAUGACUAAUACUUUUAAACAUAGAGGUCUUUUGAUCAUUUUUUCCUUGCUAAACACCAGCAAUCCCUAUGAUUUAAUGAUAAUGACAGAUCAGUACCAUCCCCUCCCUUGGUCAUAAAAAACCUAUGAUUUAGCUUCAUUUGUCUACCCAGGAAUUAGAGAUUAAUCACCAAGUAAGAAAAAUAUUUUGCAUGAUUAAAAUAUUGCAACUGCUAUAACACUUUUAGAUUACCUUAAUAUAUAUUCAUAAGAUUAUACACAGUAAUGAAUAAUGAGUAAGCCCUUACUGCACACAAAUGUAUUUGGUUUUAAGUUUUCUUUUUCUUGAAGGGGGAGCAGGGUCCUGUUGUUUUGUAUAGCCAUCAUAGUGCUGUCAAAUAUUUAACAGCAUUUCUGUUUUUUUGUUUCAUAGUUCAGUUGUGCAAUGUUGGUCUCUUCACUUCAGAAAGUCAUCUAACAAUAGCUCAGCCAAAAUAUCUGUCUUCUGUUUUUUGCCCUUCUGGAGGAAAAAUAAGUCAGAAAUAUCAUUAUAACCUUUAAAGACAGUGCACAAUCACCUAGUAAUAGUAUGCUUCAUUGGGUUUGGGGGCAACAUUUGUGUGCAGGGUGAUCAUUUUCACCGAUUUGUAAAAAGGAGAUACUAUUAUGUGUUAAUAGACUUCAAGACACAGUAUCACUCAUAUAUCAACAAUGAUAUGUUUACUUAGACUGCAUUUGGUACCUGUAAACAGAUAGCUAAAUCUUUGAUGGGAGGAUGGAUAGAGGGUUGAUGAACUGAUAGACUGACAGAUGGAAGGAUAGAUGGAUAAAUAUGGAGUAUGUAGCUACCUAGUGGUAAAAUAACUCCUGAAGGGUUUAAAAUUAUGUAAUUAUAAAACACAAAUAGUACUAAAAUGAGUUGCUUCUCCCUUAAAGCAGUAAUUUAAAUGGUAUGAACAAAUUGAUAAGAUAUUAUCUAAAAAAUAUACCAUAAUUUUAUAGAAUUCACAAUUAAUAUAUUAUUAUCCUAUGAUGUGUUUGCUGAAGAUGUUCAUAAUAAGAUCUACCACCUAUGAUAAAGGCAACAUAUGUCAUGCACUCUGAAAGCGCUUUACAGUCAUUACCACAUUAGCCAACCAUUUAUUUUCCUAGACUACAAAUAUGGAAGAAGGCAACCUACAGGCAAACCUUGUAUAUAGUGCAGGUUUGGUUCCAUACACUGCAGUAAAGCAAAUAUUGCAAUAAAGCAAGUCACACAAAUGUUUUGGUUCAUACAUAUAAAAGUUAUGUUUAUAAUAUACUGUAGUCUAAUAAGUGUGCAACAGCAUUAUGUCUAAAAACAAUGUACAUGCCUUCAUUUAAAAAUACUGUGUUGCUUAAAGAUGCUAAUGGCCAUCUGAGCCUUCUGCGAGUCAUAAUCUUUUACUAGUCGAGGCUCUUGCCUUGAUGUUAAUGGCUCCUGACUGAUCAGGGUGAGGUUUCUAAAGGUUGUGGUGGCUAAGGCAAUAGUGAAGUUUGUCACGUGGAUUGACUCUUCGUUUUAGGAAAGAUUUCUCUGUAAUGUGAUGCUGUUUGGUAACAUUUUACUCACAGUAGAUCUCUUUCAAAAUUAGAGUGAAUCCUCCCUAACCCUACCACUUAGUUUGAUAAAGAUUACCUAGGUUUAUAUUAUAUUCUAAAUCAUUUGUUGCCAUCUCUAGCAUCUUCACCAGUAAUAGAUUCCAACUCAAGAAACCAUGUUAUUUGCUUAUCUGUAAGAAAUAACUCCUCAUCCAUUAAGGUUUUAUCAUGAGACUGCAUCAAUUCAGUCACAUUUUUAGGUUUCACUUUUAAUUCUAGCUCUCUUGCUAUUUCUGCUGCAUCUGCAGUUAGUUCCUCCACCAAAGUCUUGAAUUCCUCAAAGUCAUCUAUGAGAGUUGCAGUCAAUUUCUUCCAAACUCGUAUUGUGUUGAUAUUUUAACCUCCUCCUAUUCAUCACAAACAUUCUUAAUGGCAACUAGAAUGGUGAAUCCUUUCCAGAAGAUUUCAAUUUUCUUUGCCCAGAUCCAUUAGAGGAAUCACUACUUAUGACAGCUAUAGCCUCACAAAAUUUAUUUAUUAAAUGUUAAGAGUCGAAGGUUGAAAUUGCUUCUUGAUCCAUGGGAUGCAGACUGGAUGUUGUAUUAGGUGGCUUGAAAACAAUGUUAAUUUCCUUGUUCAUCUCAGUCAGAGCUCUUGGGUGACCAGAUGCUCUCAUCAAUGAGGUAAUAUUUGAAAGGAAUCUUUUUUUUUUUUUUUUUUUUUGAAUAGGUCUCAAGCUUGGGCUUAUAGGCUUUGUUGUUCAUUUGCUGUCUUCAAGGCUUUGUGGUUCCAUUUAUAGAGCACAAGCAGAGUAGAUUUUAGCAUAAUUCAUAAGGGCCUAGGUUUUUGGAAAUGGUAAAUGAGCAUUGACUUCCACUCAAAGGCACCAGCUGUAUUAACUCAUAACAAGAGAGUCAUCCUUAUCUUUGGAGCUUUGAAACCAGACACUGUCUUCUCAAUAGUUAUGAAAGUCCCAGAUAGCAUCUUCCAAUGGAAACCUGUUUCAUCUAAAUUGAAAAUCCACCACGAAAAGCUUCAUAUAAGCAGUAGGGCUGAUGUUUACUUUCUUAUCACUCAUGUGUUGUAGAGUAGCAGUUCUUAUUUCUUUGAGGAACUUCUUUUCCUUUGCGUUCACAACUUGACUAACUCGUUGGCAUAAGGGACGUAGCCUUUGUCCUGUCUCAACUUCGAACACGCCUUCCUCAUUAAGCUUAGUAAUUUCUAGUUUUUGAUUUGAAAUGAGAGACAUGCCACUCCUCUCUUCACUUGAACUCCUAGAGACUAUUGUAGGGUUAUUAAUUGGACUAAAUUCACUAUGGUCUUAGACAAUAGGGAGACCCAAGAAAAGGGGAAGAGUCAGGGGAACAGCCAGCAGGUGGAACAGCCAACACACACAUUUAUUAAUUCUGCGGUUUUAUAUGUGCAUGAUUUGUGGUCCCCUGAAACAAUUACAGUAGUAACCACAAAGAUCACUGGUCACAAAUCAUCAUAAUAGACAUAAUGAUAAUGUAAAAAUAAUAUUAUAUUAAUAUAUAAUAAUACUGUAAUGAAAAAGUUUGAAAUAAUGCAAGGACUACCAAAAUGUGACACAGAGACACAAAGCAAGCACAUGCUGUCGGAAAAUGGUGCGAAUACACUGGUUGGAUGCAGGGUUGCCACAAAUCUCCGAUUUGUAAAAAUGUAUAUUUGUGAAGUGCAACAAAGUGGAAUAAAACGAGCUGUGUUGGUGCAGUAGUAUCAUUGGCCUGAAAGGUUUCACAGUGAGCCUUUCCUUUUAAAGUUGGGCUGUACUUAAUUUAUCAGAAAUGUAUGGUUUCUUCUAUUUAAAA